GAUGAACGCUGGCGGCGUGCCUAAUACAUGCAAGUCGAACGCAUUGUGGUUGAAAUGAUAUGAAGAACUUGUUCAGAUUUGAUUUUCAACAUUGCAAUGAGUGGCGAACGGGGUGAGUAACACGUGGGAAACCUACCUCUUAGCAGGGGAUAACAUUUGGAAACAAAUGCUAAUACCGUAUAAUAAUUAAAACCGCAUGGUUUUAGUUUAAAAGAUGGUCUUGCUAUCACUAAGAGAUGGUCCCGCGGUGUAUUAGUUAGUUGUGAGGUAAUGGCUCACCAAGACAAUGAUACAUAGCCGAGUUGAGAGACUGACGGCCACAAUGGGACUGAGACACGGCCAUACUCCUACGGGAGGC
rnacentral:rRNA from 1 species